rnacentral:rRNA from 1 species
GAUGAACGCUGGCGGCGUGCCUAAUACAUGCAAGUCGAGCGAACAGACGAGGAGCUUGCUCCUCUGACGUUAGCGGCGGACGGGUGAGUAACACGUGGAUAACCUACCUAUAAGACUGGGAUAACUUCGGGAAACCGGAGCUAAUACCGGAUAAUAUAUUGAACCGCAUGGUUCAAUAGUGAAAGACGGCUUUGCUGUCACUUAUAGAUGGAUCCGCGCCGCAUUAGCUAGUUGGUAAGGUAACGGCUUACCAAGGCGACGAUGCGUAGCCGACCUGAGAGGGUGAUAGGCCACACUGGAACUGAGACACGGUCCAGACUCCUACGGGAGGCAGCAGUAGGGAAUCUUCCGCAAUGGGCGAAAGCCUGACGGAGCAACGCCGCGUGAGUGAUGAAGGUCUUCGGAUCGUAAAACUCUGUUAUUAGGGAAGAACAAAUGUGUAAGUAACUAUGCACGUCUUGACGGUACCUAAUCAGAAAGCCACGGCUAACUACGUG